GGGGUCGACCGGAAUUGACAGCUUGCUGAGGUCGCGUGUAAGCAUGCCGGGAGUUGACGGUAUUUCCCGCCCCAACAAAUCGUCAAAACAAUAACUGGCGAGUAUAACUACGCCAUGGCUGCUUAAUCCGGAGGAUUAGCAUAACCAUCGUCUCCCCGGCCUACGUGCUGCUGGCUGGAUAAGGGGGCGUCGAUCGCAGCGCUGGUUGGUGUAAUGGUAUUAAAAGCCAACGAGAUCCAAGUACCUACGGCGAUUGGUCGGUCUGAUCCGAACCAGCCUUUUGCCCGACAAUCUAAUCGAAUCUAAGCAUGUAGAAAGCACGACGGGUUCCUUGACUGGACGAGGGUUCAAAUCCCUCCGACUCCACCC
rnacentral:tmRNA from 1 species